UACGAAGGGGGCUAGCGUUGCUCGGAAUUACUGGGCGUAAAGCGCACGUAGGCGGUCUUUUAAGUCGGGGGUGAAAUCCUGGAGCUCAACUCCAGAACUGCCUUCGAUACUGGAAGACUCGAGUCCGGGAGAGGUGAGUGGAACUGCGAGUGUAGAGGUGAAAUGCGCAGAUAUCAGGAGGAACACCGGUGGCGAAGGCGGUGGUCUGGGCCGGAACUGACGCUGAGGAGCGAAAGCGUGGGGAGCGAACAGG
rnacentral:rRNA from 1 species